GACGAACCGAGCGAACGUUGUUCGGAAUCACUGGGCUUAAAGGGCGCGUAGGCGGGCUGCCAAGUCUGUGGUGAAAUCCUCCAGCUUAACUGGAGAACGGCCGUGGAUACUGGCGGUCUCGAGGGAGGUAGGGGCAAGCGGAACUGUGCGUGGAGCGGUGAAAUGCGUUGAUAUGCACAGGAACUCCGGUGGCGAAGGCGGCUUGCUGGACCUCUUCUGACGCUGAGGCGCGAAAGCUAGGGGAGCGAACGGG
rnacentral:rRNA from 1 species